AAUGAACGUUGGCGGCAUGGAUUAGGCAUGCAAGUCGGGGGAAUCCCAGCAAUGGGGGAACCGGCGUAAGGGGCAGUAAGGCAUGGGUACCUACCUUGGGGUUCGGGAUAGCCAUCAGAGAUGGUGGGUAAUACCGGAUGACGUCGUGAGACCAAAGAUUUAUCGCCCUUAGAGGGGCCCAUGUGAUAUUAGCUAGUUGGUGGGGUAACGACCCACCAAGGCGAAGAUGUCUAGCGGGUGUGAGAGCACGACCCGCGCCACUCGCACUGAGACACUGGCGAGACACCUACGGGUGGCUGCAGUAGAGGAUCUUCGGCAAUGAGCGCAAGCUUGACCGAGCGAUGACGCGUGAGCGAUGAGGGCCUUCGGGUUGUAAAGCUCUGUAGUGGGGGAGAAAAGCCGCAAGGUGUGAUCUAUCCCAAAAAUAAGCACGGGCUAAGUUCGUGCCAGCCGCCGCCGUAA
rnacentral:rRNA from 1 species